UUACGGGUACGGGGAUUAGGGUUCGAUUCCGGAGAGGGAGCCUGAGAAACGGCUACCACAUCCAAGGAAGGCAGCAGGCGCGCAAAUUACCCAAUCCCAACACGGGGAGGUAGUGACAAUAAAUAACAAUAUGGGGCCUUUACGGGUCUCGUAAUUGGAAUGAGUACAAUUUAAAUCUCUUAACGAGGAACAAUUGGAGGGCAAGUCUGGUGCCAGCAGCCGCGGUAAUUCCAGCUCCAAUAGCGUAUAUUAAAGUUGUUGCAGUUAAAAAGCUCGUAGUUGAAUUUCGGGAUCUAUCCGUCGGUCGGGCCUUACGGUCGCACUGGUGUGAUGGAUUCCUACCUUCUGAAUAACCGGUAUGCCAUUAAUUUGAUGUGCCGGGGAAGCAGAACCAUUACCUUGAAAAAAUUAGAGUGCUCAAAGCAGGCAUGUGCCUGAAUACAUUAGCAUGGAAUAAUAAAAUAGGACGGCAUGGUUCUAUUUUGUUGGUUUCUAGGAUCACCGUAAUGAUUAAUAGGGAUAGUUGGGGGCAUUAGUAUUCAAUUGUCAGAGGUGAAAUUCUUGGAUUUAUUGAAGACUAACUUCUGCGAAAGCAUUUGCCAAGGAUGUUUUCAUUAAUCAAGAACGAAAGUUAGGGGAUCGAAGACGAUCAGAUACCGUCGUAGUCUUAACCAUAAACUAUGCCGACUAGGGAUCGGACGAUGUUAAUUUUAUAAUGACUCGUUCGGCGCCUUACGGGAAACCAAAUUUUUNKGGGUUNC
rnacentral:rRNA from 1 species